GUCUUAAAGAAAUUUAAUUUUAAGUCAAAUCUGCCCAAUGAUUAUUUUAUUAAAUGGCUGCAAAAUUUUUACUGUACUAAGGUAGCAUAAUAAAUUGUUUUAUAAUUUAAAACUUGAAUGAAAGAUUUAAUAAAAUAUAAACUUUCUUAAUUUAAAAAUAAUUUAAAUUUUUAUUUAAGUAAAAAAACUUAAAUAAAUUUAAAAGACGACAAGACCCUAUAAAAUUUUAUUAAUUAUAUUAUAUAAAUUAAUUUGAAUACCAAAAUUUAAUAAUAAAUUAAUUUAAUUGGGGUAAUUAAAAAAUAAAAAUUUUUUUAUUUUUAACAAUAAUAUUUGAAUUUUAAAACUUAAAACUAUAAAAUUAAAAAAUUAAUUACUUUAGGGAUAACAGCAUAAUUUUUUUUAAAAGUUCUUAUUAAUAAAAAAGAUUAU
rnacentral:rRNA from 1 species